rnacentral:tRNA from 1 species
GGUCCCGUAGCUCAGUAGGAUAGAGCAGGGCUUUCCUAAAGCCAAGGUCGCGCGUUCGAUUCGCGCCGGGACCA